AAUGACCUUAUCCAAGGAG
rnacentral:miRNA from 1 species